rnacentral:rRNA from 1 species
CCUACGUGAGGCUGCAGUGGGGAAUAUUGCACAAUGGGGGAAACCCUGAUGCAGCGACGCCGCGUGAGUGAAGAAGUAUUUCGGUAUGUAAAGCUCUAUCAGCAGGGAAGAAAAUGACGGUACCUGAUUAAGAAGCCCCGGCUAACUACGUGCCAGCAGCCGCGGUAAUACGUAGGGGGCAAGCGUUAGCCGGAUUUACGGGGUGUAUAGGGAGCGUAGACGGCAGCACAAGUCUGGUGUGAAAUGCCGGGGCUUAACCCCGGAACUGGUUUGGAAACUGUGCAGCUAGAGUGCAGGAGAGGUAAGUGGGAUUCCUAGUGUAGCGGUGAAAUGCGUAGAUAUUAGGAGGAACACCAGUGGCGAAGGCGGCUUACUGGACUGUAACUGACGUUGAGGCUCGAAGGCGUGGGGAGCAAACAGGAUUAGAUACCCGGGUAGUC